UUUACAUGAUGACUAUUAUGUCUAGUUCUGCUACUGACUACCAUCAUGAGGAAAACCAAAUUACCAAAUUACUGAAGU